rnacentral:rRNA from 1 species
GACGAACGCUGGCGGCGUGCUUAACACAUGCAAGUCGAACGAUGAAGCGGUGCUUGUUGCGUGGAUGAGUAGCGAACGGGUGAGUAAUACGUAAGUGACCUACCUUUGACUCUGGAAUAAGCCUGGUAAACUGGGUCUAAUACCGGAUACGACAAAUUUCUGCAUGGGGUGUUGGGGGCAAGAGUGAUGGAGUGGUUUUAGAUGGGCUCACGGCCUAUCGGCUGGUUGGGGAGGUAAUGGCUUACCAAGGCGACGACGGAUAGCCGGCAGGGGAGCUUGACCAGCCACCAGGGGCCUGAGACACGGACCAGUCGCCAAUGGGAGGCAACGGGGGGGAACAUUACACAGUGGGCGCGAGCCUAAUACAGCGACGCCGCGGUAGGGAUGACCGCCUUCGGGUUGUAAACCUAUGUUAGCAUAGAAGAAGCGAAAGUGACGGUAGCUGCAGAGAAAGCGCCGGCUAACUACGUG